UUAGUGAUAACCACCCAUAUCGCGUCGGUGUUCCCAGCUCAUGCAACCUAUAGGCAAUUGUUGCGCUGUGCUUAGGCACACACCUUGGUGCACACCAGGCAUACUAUGUGGGUGUCCCUAGCUCGGCGACCGGUAGGCCCUCGCGAUGCCGUGUAUUUAGGUGCACACCUCGUUGCUCACCAGGCAAACUUCUUGGGUGUGCCUUGCUCGAGCAACCCGUAGGCCAUCGAGGAGCCGUGUGCCUAGGCGCACAACAUGGAGCCCUAAACCCUUGCUGUGUGGGUGUGCCUAGCUCGUUCAUCCCACUGGCCCUCGAGGCCCCCUGCCAUCAACCAUGAGAGUGGUGGUGAUGCACCCAAGGAUGUAAUGUUGUGCAUUGAGGUGGUAUGGGUCGUGAUGGGGUCAAAUAUAUGCUAGUUUGAACCCCAACAGGUACCAUUCAGAAACUCCAGAUGUUUUAAGCCAUCCAACAUACUUGGGAAGGAUGGGUUCCGGGGUGGAACAAGGCUGGGGUACGUGAUUUGGGGUAGCCGUGCUACCAACGCAUGGGUGUGACCUGCUCUGGCUGACCCGUAGACCCCUGAUGCGCUCUGCCUAGUCACACACCUCGCUGCUAGCCACCCAUGCCGCGUUGUUGUGCCCAGCUCGUUCAACCCGUAAGCACUCACAGCGCCGUGCCUUGGCGCGCAACCCAUUGCCCACCAUGCUCAUACUACGUGGGUUUUUCUUUCUUGGGAUGACUCGUGGGCACUUGAUGUGUUGUGCCUAGGCGCACACCUCAGUGCUCACCACCCAUGCCUCGUUGAUGUUCCCAGCUUGUGUGACCUGUAGGCAAUUGCCUAGGCACACACCUUGGUGCACACCAUUCAUACUACGUGGGUGUCUCUGUCUCGGCGACCGGCAGACCCUCGUGAUGCCGUGUACCUAGGUGCACACCUCGGUGCCCACCUGGCAAACUGCGUGGGUGUGCCUUGCUUGGGCAACCCGUAGGCCAUCGCAGCGCUGUGUGCUUAGGCGCACACCAUGGAGCCCCAAACCCAUGCUGCGUGGGUGUGCCUAGGUCGUUUCCCACCAGCCCUUAAGGCCCCCUACCUUCAACCGUGUGUGUGGUGGUGAUGCACCCAAGGAUGCAACGUUGUUCAUUGAGAUGGUAUGUGAUGGGGUCAAAUAUGUGCUAGUUUGACCCCCAACAGGUGUCACUCAGGAAGUUCAGGUGUUUUAAGCCGUCAAACAUACUUGGAAAGGAUGGGCACCUGGGUGAGACGAGGCUGAGGUACAUGAUUUGGGUUAGACGUGCUGCCAAUGCAUGGGUGUGACCUGCUCUAGCUGACCCGUAGACCCUAGAUGCACUUUGCGUAGUCUCACACCUCGGUGCUGGCCACCCAUGCAUCGUUGUUGUGCCAAGCUCAUUCAACCCUUAGGCAGACACAGUGCCAUGCCUAGGCGUGCAACCCGUAGCCCACCAGGCUCAUGAUGUGUGGGUUUGCCUUUCCUGGGAUGGCCCGUGGGCACUUGAAGCGUUUUGCCUAGGCACACACAUCAGUGCUCACCACCCAUACCGCGUGGGUGUUUCCAGCUCAUGCAACCUAUAGGCAAUUGUUGCACUGUGCCUAGGCCAGGCAGACUGCGUGGGUGUCCCUAUCUCUGCGACUGGCAGGCGCUCUCGAUGCCGUGUACCUAGGUGCACACCUUGGUGCCCAUCAUGUAAACUGCGUGUGUGCCUUGCUCGGGCAACCCUUAGGCCAUCGCAGCGCCAUGUACCUAGGCACACAACAUGGAGUCCUCAACCCUUGCUGCGUGGGUGUGCCUAGCUCGUUCAUCCCACCGGCCCUCGAGGUCCCAUGCCUUCAACCAUGCAUGUGGUGAUGAUGCACCCAAGGAUGCAACGUUGUGCAUUGAGAUUGUAUGUGUCGUGAUGGGGUCAAAUAUAGGUUAGUUUGACCCCCAACAGGUGUCACUCAGGAGGUCCAGAUGUUUUAAGCCAUCAAACAUACUUGGGAAGGAUGGGCACCUGGGUGGGACGAGGCUGAUGUAUGUGAUUUGGGCUAGGCGUGCUGCCAAUGCUUGGGUGUGACCUGCUCUGGCUGACCCGUAGACCCCUGAUGCUCUGUGCCUAGUUGCACACCUCGUUGCUCGCCGCCCAUGUCACGUUGUUAUGCCCAGCUCGUUCAACCCGUAGCCACUCGCAGCGCCGUGCCUCGACACGCAACCCGUUGCCCACCAGGCUCAUACUAAGUGGGUUUGCCUUUCCUGGGAUGACCCGUGGGCACUCGAUGCGCUGUGCCUAGGUGCACACCUCAAUGCUCGGCACCCAUACCGCGUGGGUGUUCCCACCUCAUGCAACCUGUAGGCACUUACGGCGUUGUGCCUAGGCACACACGUUGGUGCCUACCUGGCGUACUUUGUAGAAGUGCUUAGCUUGGCUAUCGAUAGGUGCUGGUGACACCGUGAGCUUAGGAACACACCUCGGUGCCCACCAGCCAUACAACAUCGGUGUGCCUUGCCCCGAGGACCCUCCAUGCACUGUGCCUAGUCGCACACCUCCGUGCUCAGCACCCAUAUCGCGUGGAUGUUCCCAGGCCGUGCAACCUGCAUGCACCUGUAGCACUGUGCCAAGGCACACACCUUGGUGUCCAUUGUGCCUUGAUGCACACCUCGUUGCCUCCUUCUCAUGACGUGUGUGUAAUGCCCUAGGCCCUCGCGACACCGUACGUAGACACGUACCUCGAUGCCAACCAUCCACGCCACACAGCGCACUAUGGUGUGCUCCAGGCCGCCCCAUCCCACCUCACCAGCUAUUCCGAUGGACUAGGACGGGCCCACACCGUCUUAUGGUCCAGGAUGGGCAGUGCAGGAGCUUGAGGUCCAAUGCUCCAAGGUGAGUUUGUGCUCGGAAAGCUGAUUUGGACACAUGUCCUUGUGCACUGGGCAUGGUGGUGUGGUGGGAUGGGUUGCCGUUUAGGAAAAAAAGUGUAUGCUAGAUUCAAUGGAAUAGCAACCACUCUUGAAUUUUUGAUGUUUUAAGCUAUCAAACAUAGUUGGGGAGAGUCGGAUCUGGGUAAACGCAUGCGUCUCCUGCCUCCCCUUGGACACAUGCAAACACUUGUAGGGAAUGAAUGUCGACCUCCAUGUGGAUCCGAUCUACAAGGCAGCAAGAUGACGAUGUGCUUCCGGGUGCGGCUAGGGAAGCUAUCUCGACUGCUGUACAUCUGCGUCUAAGACGUGAUAUACCGGCCAAAGCAGCCAGAACAAGUCUUGCUUCCCUCCCUGACAAGAUCCGCUUUGGAUGACGAUGGCGUGGCAGUCCUGAGGUUGAGCCGUUGCUUUCGUGGUGCAAUAUGGCACCAUGUGCAUUGUCCCGAUCGAAGAGUUUGGGCAGUGAACGACGGUUUCCCUCGACACCGAUCCUAGUGCUGUAUGUUGGGCGAGGAGGUGGGGAUGUCUUGACACUAUGUCGUCGUGUCUCUAAGACGUGAUAUGGCACCAACAAUUGCAGCCAGAUGAAGUCCUUCUUCCUUUCUUAACAUGACUCCCCUCUGGAUGAUGGCGGGUUGGCAAGCCUGAGGCUGCGCCAUUGCGUCCCUAGCGCAAUAUGGCAUGUGCCGAUCAACGAGCUUUAGCAGUGGAUGGCGGUCGUCUAGCCACCGGACAUGAUUCAGGUCUAGGUGAUGGUGGUUGGGAUGUCUGGACGCUGCGCCGUUGCGUCACAAACGUGAUAUGGCCCAACCAUGGUAGCAAUAUGAUGUCUUGCUUCCCUCCUUGACAUGGCCCUCUUUGGAUGAUGGACGAUGGUGGGGUUGCAGGCCUGAGGCUGCGUCGUUGCGUCCCUUACGCAAUAUAGCAUGUCCCGCUAGAUGAGCUUCCGUGCUGUUUUAGUUCCUUGCCUCUUGUAUCUUUCAGGUUUUGUAAUGCCGUUCUAGUCGUGGUUUCUCGCACAUACCGACUUCUUCCAGUGCUGGCCUUCAUUCAAGUGUUGCCCAGCUCUGGUGAGUCAUGGACGUUUUACGAAUCUUGCCGCAUGAUUUUUUGGCCUCUGCCCGUGAGAUGAAUAUCGCCCAGUGCAAGCAAAUGCACCUGUGGGAGCAACGGUGUAUGGUCUUUGUUUUGGGAUGUUCUUCUCGUCUCCCCUACUAUGGUGGUAGUUGUUGUGCGUGUGCAUUCGAUACCCAUUUGAGAUGGAAGUGUAUUUUGUUCAGCUGGCGUUUGGAUUGUUGCAGUGGACCAUUGGCCCCACGGUCGCUCUCCUCGUGGGCUUGUUCUCUUACGGCACCCUUGGUACGGUUCCACUUUUCGAUUCCCCAGUUUGGUGCCAUUUGAGCUCUCCCUAUGUCUCUUGGUAUUGGAGGUUGCUUACUUGUGUGGCCUUGAGUUGGCUCACCGCAUGGACGUCCACCACUCGCCUCAUUUGGCAGCGAAAUGCAGGGCUCCAUUCGAGCCCCUACUUUAGUUCCCGUGUGGUUCCCCCAUGUCGUUUUGGGAUGCUACCUGGUUGAUCCUGCCAUUAGUCAUAUGCUUGUCUCAAAGAUUAAGCCGUGCAUGUGUAAGUAUGAACUAAUUCAGACUGUGAAACAGUGAAUGGCUCAUUAAAUCAGUUAUAGUUUAUUUGAUGGUACCUACUGCUCGGAUAACCGUAGUAAUUCUAGAGCUAAUACGUGUAAGAAAUCCCCACCUCUGGAAGGGAUGCAUUUAUUAGAUAAAAGGCCAACGCGGGCUUUGCCCGAUGCUUUGGUGAAUCAUGAUAACGUGAUGGAUCGCACGACCAUUGUGCUGGCGAUGCAUCAUUCAAAUUUUUGCCCUAUCAACUUUCGAUGGUAGGAU
rnacentral:lncRNA from 1 species